UGGGAAGUAUCUAUCUUUAGAACUUCACCUAAGUUUUUUAUUAAGUAUAUAAUAAAUUUGCCCAUAUCAAAUGAGUGGGACAACUAA
rfam:Clostridium roseum strain DSM 7320 CROST_contig000029, whole genome shotgun sequence.